ACUCUACAUGAAGAAGAUACUAAUUGGCUAUGGCAUUUUAUUUCCGAUGAAGCCAUUUAUAGUCAUAGUUACACUGAUAGAUG
rnacentral:snRNA from 1 species